rnacentral:ncRNA from 2 species
UUGUAAAUAAAGUAAAAUGCUUUUAUAAGUCAGCAUAUUGGGCUGAUGUUUCUACAAUGUACCUAUACAUUUCUAAAAGUAUACAUAGAAAGGAG